UACGUAGGGUGCGAGCGUUGUCCGGAAUUAUUGGGCGUAAAGGGCUCGUAGGCGGUUUGUCGCGUCGGGAGUGAAAACCUUGGGCUUAACUCAGGGCUUGCUUUCGAUACGGGCAGACUAGAGGUAUGCAGGGGGAGAACGGAAUUCCUGGUGUAGCGGUGAAAUGCGCAGAUAUCAGGAGGAACACCGGUGGCGAAGGCGGUUCUCUGGGCAUGAUCUGACGCUGAGGAGCGAAAGCGUGGGGAGCGAACAGG
rnacentral:rRNA from 1 species